rnacentral:rRNA from 1 species
UACGUAGGGUGCGAGCGUUAAUCGGAAUUACUGGGCGUAAAGCGUGCGCAGGCGGUUUUGUAAGCCAGAUGUGAAAUCCCCGGGCUUAACCUGGGAAUGGCAUUUGGGACUGCAAGGCUUGAGUGCGGCAGAGGAGACUGGAAUUCCUGGUGAGCAGUGAAAUGCGUAGAUAUCAGGAGGAACACCGAUGGCGAAGGCAGGUCUCUGGGCUGACACUGACGCUCAUGCACGAAAGCGUGGGGAGCGAA